rnacentral:rRNA from 1 species
AUUGAACGCUGGCGGCAUGCCUUACACAUGCAAGUCGAACGGUAACAGGUCUUCGGAUGCUGACGAGUGGCGAACGGGUGAGUAAUACAUCGGAACGUGCCCAGACGUGGGGGAUAACGAGGCGAAAGCUUUGCUAAUACCGCAUACGAUCUAAGGAUGAAAGCAGGGGACCGCAAGGCCUUGCGCGUUUGGAGCGGCCGAUGGCAGAUUAGGUAGUUGGUGGGAUAAAAGCUUACCAAGCCGACGAUCUGUAGCUGGUCUGAGAGGACGACCAGCCACACUGGGACUGAGACACGGCCCAGACUCCUACGGGAGGCAGCAGUGGGGAAUUUUGGACAAUGGGCGAAAGCCUGAUCCAGCAAUGCCGCGUGCAGGAUGAAGGCCUUCGGGUUGUAAACUGCUUUUGUACGGAACGAAAAGGCUCUGGCUAAUACCUGGGGCACAUGACGGUACCGUAAGAAUAAGCGCCGGCUAACUACGUG